ACGAACGCUGGCGGCGUGCCUAAUACAUGCAAGUCGAGCGGAAUGAUGAAGAAGCUUGCUUCUUCUGAUUUUAGCGGCGGACGGGUGAGUAACACGUGGGCAACCUACCUUGUAGAUUGGGAUAACUCCGGGAAACCGGGGCUAAUACCGAAUAAUCCAUUUUGCUUCAUGGCGAGAUGUUGAAAGACGGUUUCGGCUGUCACUAUAAGAUGGGCCCGCGGCGCAUUAGCUAGUUGGUAGGGUAAUGGCCUACCAAGGCGACGAUGCGUAGCCGACCUGAGAGGGUGAUCGGCCACACUGGGACUGAGACACGGCCCAGACUCCUACGGGAGGCAGCAGUAGGGAAUCUUCCACAAUGGACGAAAGUCUGAUGGAGCAACGCCGCGUGAGUGAAGAAGGUUUUCGGAUCGUAAAGCUCUGUUGUAAGGGAAGAACACGUACGAGAGUAACUGCUCGUACCUUGACGGUACCUUAUUAGAAAGCCACGGCUAACUACGUG
rnacentral:rRNA from 1 species